rnacentral:lncRNA from 1 species
CUGGAGGAGAGGUGGGAGAGAGACAGGGCUCCGUGGGGGAAGGCCCAGGCCAGGCUUUCUCUCCCCGAGUGGCAAAUAACAGCGGUCCCUUUGUGGAAUGUGGCACGGCAGGAGGACAGAGUCGCCCCAUUGCUCUCUGGUGACAACUGGACUGUCAACAUGGAGGCACGUGGCCCUCACUUCCCUGGGGUGUGGACGGCGGCGGGGCUGGGCCUGGGAACAAGCCUCGGGGUUCAGAGUCUACUUCUUCCUGGAGUGGAACCUGCAGCAGAACUUCAUGGCUUCCAAAAAGAGGAUCCUUCCGUUUCCUAAGUGGGAAGGAAUGUCACCGAGGAGUUGAAGGAAUUGAGGUUGCAUUACCAUAAAGAGCCUCGGGACCUGAAAGUUCAGGAGAAGAGAGCCUGAAUAACCACAUUUGGGGUUUGAGGUUUUAUUGAACUGGUAAUGAAAAUAAUCUUUGCAAGAUAUUUGGAAAAUAUUUGAUAAACACAGACUGAGGCUGCUGCCUAUGUGCAUAAAUUUUUUAAAAAUUAUUUUUAAGCCUUGAAUUUAGAUUAGCAACCUGUUAACAACCAGCCAGUACUUGGGUUAAGCACAAAGAAGGAUGAUUAGAAAUGAAGGCUGCAGAGCAGAACCGAGUCCCAACCCCAACUCUGCCACUUCAGAGUGGUGCAACCAUGGGAGCUGUACAUCGCUUCUCCCCUUCUUUGUGUCUUCGUCCAUAAAAUGGAAAUGAGCUGCUAUGAGGAUUGAACAAGGAAAGUUGUAUGGAGAUGACAUUAGGACAGACUGAAAAAAUGACACAGCCCUAUCCCUC